rnacentral:rRNA from 1 species
UUUUUAACUGCUCAGGAUGAACGCUGGCGGCGUGCCUAAUACAUGCAAGUCGAACGAGUUCUCGUUGAUGAUCGGUGCUUGCACCGAGAUUCAACAUGGAACGAGUGGCGGACGGGUGAGUAACACGUGGGUAACCUGCCCUUAAGUGGGGGAUAACAUUUGGAAACAGAUGCUAAUACCGCAUAGAUCCAAGAACCGCAUGGUUCUUGGCUGAAAGAUGGCGUAAGCUAUCGCUUUUGGAUGGACCCGCGGCGUAUUAGCUAGUUGGUGAGGUAAUGGCUCACCAAGGCGAUGAUACGUAGCCGAACUGAGAGGUUGAUCGGCCACAUUGGGACUGAGACACGGCCCAAACUCCUACGGGAGGCAGCAGUAGGGAAUCUUCCACAAUGGACGCAAGUCUGAUGGAGCAACGCCGCGUGAGUGAAGAAGGCUUUCGGGUCGUAAAACUCUGUUGUUGGAGAAGAAUGGUCGGCAGAGUAACUGUUGUCGGCGUGACGGUAUCCAACCAGAAAGCCACGGCUAACUACGUGCCAGCAGCCGCGGUAAUACGUAGGUGGCAAGCGUUAUCCGGAUUUAUUGGGCGUAAAGCGAGCGCAGGCGGUUUUUUAAGUCUGAUGUGAAAGCCCUCGGCUUAACCGAGGAAGCGCAUCGGAAACUGGGAAACUUGAGUGCAGAAGAGGACAGUGGAACUCCAUGUGUAGCGGUGAAAUGCGUAGAUAUAUGGAAGAACACCAGUGGCGAAGGCGGCUGUCUGGUCUGUAACUGACGCUGAGGCUCGAAAGCAUGGGUAGCGAACAGGAUUAGAUACCCUGGUAGUCCAUGCCGUAAACGAUGAAUGCUAGGUGUUGGAGGGUUUCCGCCCUUCAGUGCCGCAGCUAACGCAUUAAGCAUCCGC